rnacentral:tRNA from 1 species
GUGGCGGAAUUGGUAGACGCGCUGGAUUCAAAAUCCAGUUCUGGCAACAGAGUAUCGGUUCGAUUCCGAUUGGGGGCACCA